rnacentral:rRNA from 1 species
UACAGGGGGGGCAAGCGUUGUUCGGAAUUACUGGGCGUAAAGGGCUCGUAGGCGGCCAACUAAGUCACACGUGAAAUCCCCAGGCUUAACCUGGGAACUGCGUGUGAUACUGGAUGGCUUGAAUCCGGGAGAGGGAUGCGGAAUUCCUGGUGUAGCGGUGAAAUGCGCAGAUAUCAGGAGGAACACCGGUGGCAAAGGCGGGUCUCUGGGCCGAUGAUUGACGCUGAGGAGCGAAAGCGUGGGGAGCGAACAGG